AAGACUAUAGACCUGCGGAGUACCUGCGGAAGGAUCAUUAAAGAGUUGCAAGACUCCCAAACCAUUGUGAACGUUACCCACACCGUUGCUUCGGCGGGCGGCCCGGGCCCUGCCCGGCGCCCCCCGGCCCCUCGCGGGCGCCCGCCGGAGGUAAACCAAACUCUUGAAUUGUAUGGCCUCUCUGAGUCUUCUGUACUGAAUAAGUCAAAACUUUCAACAACGGAUCUCUAGAUCGGAAGA
rnacentral:misc_RNA from 1 species